GACUCGGUUUGUUUACGUUUUGCCGCGGGGAGUUGCACGUGUGGGCGGCGUUCAAAAUGAUCUACGUUUAUUUCACGUUCCUGACCUCGCCCGCCUAUAAAAGUCCUCGUUGCUCCAGGGCGUAGCUCCGUUACCCUGGGGGGCCUAUGGGGGUGCGGGGUACAGGCACCCAUCGCUCCGGGACACCUUGCCUCAGUGCUCAUCUCUGUCAAAUUAAAGACUCAAGAGCUGUGUGAAGAAGCUGAGCAGCGUCUCCCUGGCCUGGGCGUGGAGUGAGCUGGUCCCCUCAUCACCAGCACCAUAGACCAGGGGAUGAGGUGCUCCUGGCCCUCCGGCACACCCUCCUGGGCGGACCAGAGGAUGUCCACUGUGCUGGUCACUCCACACUCCUAUCAAGGCCGUGCUGGACAGGCUCAGUGACGACUCAGACACGUCAAAUAUCUUCCCUCAGAGGCACUGACAGGCUUCUACAGUGGUAGGGCUGAAACGACACAUCCUGGCGGGGGGCACCUUUGACAGCCCAGGACACACCUCCGCCCCCGCCAGCAACCUCAUCACCCGACUGCUAGUUCAGGACCCAGCGCAGUGGUCCAACUCAGAAGAGAUUGCUGCCACGAGUACCUGGCUAGUGCCCCCCCUCUUAUGUACUAGCCCUGACCUUCAGCGACGACCCCGACCCCAUGGAGGCUCUUCAAGGUGGUGGAGACCCUGUUGCACGUUCAUCUGGUGGUGGAGUUCCCUGGCGGCGGCGGCGAGCUGUUCAACACCAUCACCACGGAGGGACGCAUGACGGAGGCACGGGCAGCGGCAGUCUUCACACAGGUGCUGUCUGCCAUAGCCUGCCGUGUGUGUGUGUGUGUGUGUGUGUGUGUGUAUUUACCUAGUUGUGAAAUACAGGAAAAGAGCUGUACUAGGCUCGUGCUGUCCCGUCUCCAUAACGCUUAUUAUCCAGUUUGGCUUUAAAUUCAUGAAUCGUUUUUGCACACACAGUCUCCUCGUCAAGUCUGU